GGGGAUAUAGCUCAAUUGGUAGAGUGCUUGCAUCAUAUGCACAAGACCCUGGGUUCAAACCCCAGCACACACA
rfam:Ictidomys tridecemlineatus contig054099, whole genome shotgun sequence.